GAUUCAGCGGCGGACGGGUGAGUAAUACCUAGGAAUCUGCCUGGUAGUGGGGGACAACGUUUCGAAAGGAACGCUAAUACCGCAUACGUCCUACGGGAGAAAGCAGGGGACCUUCGGGCCUUGCGCUAUCAGAUGAGCCUAGGUCGGAUUAGCUAGUUGGUGAGGUAAUGGCUCACCAAGGCUACGAUCCGUAACUGGUCUGAGAGGAUGAUCAGUCACACUGGAACUGAGACACGGUCCAGACUCCUACGGGAGGCAGCAGUGGGGAAUAUUGGACAAUGGGCGAAAGCCUGAUCCAGCCAUGCCGCGUGUGUGAAGAAGGUCUUCGGAUUGUAAAGCACUUUAAGUUGGGAGGAAGGGCAGUAAGCGAAUACCUUGCUGUUUUGACGUUACCGACAGAAUAAG
rnacentral:rRNA from 1 species